UUGCGACACGAACAGAGUGCAUCGAACGUGAAAGUCACAAAGAGCAUACUUGGCAGUCUUUUAUUAUUAUUUUGUAAUAUUUUAUAUCGUAUUACGUGUUAUAAGUGCCAUUUUCAAAUAGUGAACAAGACUAACAAUACUUCGCAAAUAUUUGUCCCCAAAAUGGCAAGACGUUUGAGGAGUGCGAAUGUAUUAUUAGAGAGAAUAAAUGAUAUCGAUGCAGAAUGUUCUGAAGAUGAUCAGGAAAUUCUGGAUAUGGAAAAUAACAAUACGGAAAAUUAUGAUCCACUUGAAACAGAUUCGAACACCGAUGAGAACG
rnacentral:lncRNA from 1 species